GGUGUAGGCGGUUCUUUAAGUCGGAUGUGAAAUCCAGCGGCCCAACCGCUGAAUUGCAUCCGAUACUGGGGAACUUGAGGACGGUAGAGGUCGGUGGAAUUCCCGGUGUACCGGUGAAAUGGACAGAUAUCGGGAGGAACACCAGUGGCGAAGGCGGCCGACUGGGCCGAUCCUGACGCUGAGACCCGAAAGCCAGGGUAGCGAACC
rnacentral:rRNA from 1 species